rnacentral:misc_RNA from 1 species
UUUCCGUAGGUGAACCUGCGGAAGGAUCAUUACUAAAGUCUGGGGGACUCCGGUCCCUGUCUGGACCCUUGUCUUUUGCGUACUAUUUGUUUCCUUGGUGGGCUUUGCCUGCCAAAAGGACACUAUAUAACCCUUUGUAAUUGCAAUCAGCGUCAGAAAAACAUAAUAGUUACAACUUUCAACAACGGAUCUCUUGGUUCUG